rnacentral:lncRNA from 1 species
UGAUGAAUUUGUGUUAUUUGUAGGGACAUGGAUGAAUCUGGAGAACAUCAUUCUCAGCAAGCUGACACAGGAACAGAAAAUGAAAUACUGCAUAUUCUCACUCAUAGGCUUUGUUCUCAUUUAAACCUGAAUGGCCAUUGACUUCUUUUGAAAAAGAAAAAAAUGGUAAGUCUUUCAUUGCCUUUCUCAUAAGCGUGACUUAGAUUUCCUAUUCCUGCUUUUUGAGAUGACCCGAUUGCCUCUGUUUCAGGCUCCGUGGUUCAUUUCUUCAACCUCUAAACCGUUUCAGCUUCCUUUAGGCCAUGGAUAGAAAGCUGGUGAAAAGUCAGCAAAUAUUUUCCAUAAAUAGCUGUUGGAUCCCAAACCUCCACAAACCAACUUUUGAGUUUUUUUCUUUUUAAGGAGAAAUAAGUAGAGAAGUGAGAAUCAGUUUUAAGGAUCUGGUGCCUAGCGAGGUGCUGGCAAGCAGUCUGAGAGCCCCAGAAACUUGUAGAG